GUCAGUGCUUUUCAGUCUCUUCCGUAUUUUGCAAGAGGAGUUGUCGCCUGAAGCCAUCUGUAUGGCUGCUGUCUUUACAGGUUUUUAUUUCACCUACUAAUGCGCGUAUCAGUCUCAUCUUAGGGUCCAGUAGGUUCCCCACCACCUACUGCCUGCCUGCCUCCUUCCCACUCUCCCUUGCAACUGCCCUCCUUUCUUUCUUCUUCUCUUCCUUUACUGAGGCUGAAUCAUCAAAAUUAUGAAUGUAAGUUAAUAAAAGGCAAUGGAUUUAUGAAGUUCUGAAUGAAAUGUAGACACUUUAAAUUCCAAACCUUCAUUAUUUGAACAUUGACAGUCUGAGGGACUCUGAGGUUAGUACUGUGAGGGUAAAUUUCUCAGUUUUCGGUUUCCUGUACUGUUAUCAGCUCAUCAUUCUAAUUUCUCGUUCAUUUCUGAACUCUGGUUAGAGUGUGCCUGAGUAAAUACCACAAAUGACCAAGUACAUGCAAACGUUUUGUCAUUUUAAUUUGCCACCAUACCUUGUAGUGCCCUAUCUCUGGAUCCAGGAAAACCCAAGUGCAAUAAAAUGGAGUCACAAGAGGAGAAGAAAAAAGCCCACAGUUUAAUAUUUUCUUCAGCCUGGUGAUUCAGAGACUCAGAGCAACUUAUCAACGUUGGUAGCAGAACAUUUUUGAAACAAGUGAACUUUUGGAGUACGGUUGAAUUGAAGACUCAAUCAAACUUUUCUUCUGAGGAGGAAAGACUCAAAAUAUUAAAUCCACAUGACGUGUUGGGUAAGGCAUCUUGCCUGUUUAUUGCUGAACCAGAAAAUUUAUAACAACUGUUUGUCAUGUGUGUAUAUUUAUAGCCAUUCAUAUAAUGAAAAGAAGUUUUCAUGAGAUUGUAAUAACAUAUCAAGAUGGAUGUAAUUAAAACAGAAGCAGAUUGACACCCUGAAUUAAAUGCAAACCAUAAACCAGGAUACCUGAGCAUUGGUGCCUUAAGUAUUUGCUGCAGGGGGCAGUCAGCC
rnacentral:lncRNA from 1 species